rnacentral:rRNA from 1 species
AGAGUUUGAUCCUGGCUCAGAGCGAACGCUGGCGGCAGGCUUAACACAUGCAAGUCGAACGGAUGGCUUCGGCCAUCAGUGGCAGACGGGUGAGUAACGCGUGGGAACAUGCCCUUCGGUUCGGAAUAACCAAUGGAAACGUUGGCUAAUACCGGAUACGCCCUUUUGGGGAAAGGUUUACCGCCGAGGGAUUGGCCCGCGUCCGAUUAGCUUGUUGGUGAGGUAACGGCUCACCAAGGCGACGAUCGGUAGCUGGUCUGAGAGGAUGAUCAGCCACACUGGGACUGAGACACGGCCCAGACUCCUACGGGAGGCAGCAGUGGGGAAUAUUGGACAAUGGGGGCAACCCUGAUCCAGCCAUGCCGCGUGAGUGAUGAAGGCCUUAGGGUUGUAAAGCUCUUUCGCACGCGACGAUAAUGACGGUAGCGUGAGAAGAAGCCCCGGCUAACUUCGUGCCAGCAGCCGCGGUAAUACGAAGGGGGCUAGCGUUGCUCGGAAUCACUGGGCGUAAAGCGCGCGUAGGCGGAUCUUUAAGUCAGGGGUGAAAUCCCGGGGCUCAACCCCGGAACUGCCUUUGAUACUGGGGAUCUUGAGUUCGAGAGAGGUUGGUGGAACUGCGAGUGUAGAGGUGAAAUUCGUAGAUAUUCGCAAGAACACCAGUGGCGAAGGCGGCCAACUGGCUCGACACUGACGCUGAGGCGCGAAAGCGUGGGGAGCGAACAGGAUUAGAUACCCUAGUAGUCC